AAGCUCAAAUUUGAAAUCUGGCAGUCUUUUUUUUCUUCUUUGGCUGUCCGAGUUGUAAUCUAGAGAAGUGCUUACCUGCACUGGACCAUGUAUAAGUCUCCUGGAAUGGAGCGUCACAGAGGGUGAGAAUCCCGUCUUUGACAUGGACCGCCAGUGUGUUGUGGUGUGCUCUCAAAGAGUCGAGUUGUUUGGGAAUGCAGCUCUAAAUGGGUGGUAAACUCCAUCUAAAGCUAAAUAUUGGCGAGAGACCGAUAGUGAACAAGUACCGUGAGGGAAAGAUGAAAAGGACUUUGGAAAGAGAGUUAAACAGUAUGUGAAAUUGUUGAAAGGGAAACGCUUGAAGUCAGUUAUGUUGGCUAGGGAUCAACCUAGCUGUUUUUUUGCUGGGUGAAUUUCCUAGUCUGACAGGCCAACAUCAGUCUUGACUGCUGGAAAAGAGCAGAGGGAAUGUGGCACCUUUGGGUGUGUUAUAGCCUUUUGUCAUAUGUGGCAGUUGGGACUGAGGGAUGCAGCAUGCCGCGAGGCUGGGUUUCUGACCACGUCAUGCUCAGGAUGUUGGC
rnacentral:rRNA from 1 species